rnacentral:rRNA from 1 species
CCUGUUUAACAAAAACAUGUCUUUUUGAGUUAUUUUUAAAGUCUGACCUGCCCACUGAAUUUUUUUAAAUGGCCGCAGUAUUCUAACUGUGCAAAGGUAGCAUAAUCAUUAGUCUUUUAAUUGAAGGCUGGAAUGAACGGUUGGACGAGGUAUAAGCUGUUUCAUAUAAAUUUAUAGUAGAAUUUUAUUUUUUAGUUAAAAAGCUAAAAUUUAAUUAAAAGACGAGAAGACCCUAUAAAUCUUUAUAUUUUAUUUUAUUUAAGUUUUUUGGAUUAGUUUUAUUUUUAUAAUUUAAAAUAUUUUGUUGGGGUGAUAUUAAAAUUUAAUGAACUUUUAAUUUUUUAAAAUCAUUAAUUUAUGAAUUAUUGAUCCAUUAAUAGUGAUUAUAAGAUUAAGUUACUUUAGGGAUAACAGCGUAAUUUUUUUGGAGAGUUCAUAUCGAUAAAAAAGUUUGCGACCUCGAUGUUGGAUUAAGAUAUAAUUUUAGGUGUAGCCGCUUAAAU